GACGAACGCUGGCGGCGUGCCUAACACAUGCAAGUCGAACGGGAACGCCCGGUCUUGUUGCGCAGGUGUGCGUGAGGCGUGGGAAGCUGCCCUUAGGUUCGGUAUCCUUCCCCGUACGGGGUGCUAAUACCAGAUAAGGUCUUCGGACACACGAUCUAUCGCGUUUGGAUGGGCGGGCGUUGGUUUAGGUUGUUGGUAGGGUAAUAGCCUAGCAAGGCGCCGAUCCAUGGCUGGUCGGGGAGGAGGAUCAGCAACGCUGGGACUGAGACACGGCCCAGACUCCUACGGGAGGCAGGAGUGGGGAAUAAUGGAGAAUGGGCGAAAGCCUGAUACAGCAAUGCGGGGUGAGAGAUGAAGGCGGUAGUGAAGUAAAGCUGUUUUAGCCGAGAUGAGAAUGACGGUACCGGGAGAAGAAGCUCCGGCUAACUCCGUG
rnacentral:rRNA from 1 species